UACGUAGGGAGCAAGCGUUGUCCGGAAUUACUGGGCGUAAAGCGUGCGCAGGCGGUUUUGUAAGCCAGAUGUGAAAUGCCCGGGCUUAACCUGGGAACUGCAUUUGUGACUGCAUGGCUAGAGUUUGGCAGAGGGGGGUAGAAUUCCACGUGUAGCAGUGAAAUGCGUAGAUAUGUGGAGGAACACCGAUGGCGAAGGCAGCCCCCUGGGUCAAGACUGACGCUCAUGCACGAAAGCGUGGGGAGCAAACAGG
rnacentral:rRNA from 1 species